rnacentral:rRNA from 1 species
AUACGGAGGAUCCGAGCGUUAUCCGGAUUUAUUGGGUUUAAAGGGAGCGUAGGUGGGAUAUUAAGUCAGCUGUGAAAGUUUGGGGCUCAACCUUAAAAUUGCAGUUGAUACUGGUUUCCUUGAGUACGGUACAGGUGGGCGGAAUUCGUGGUGUAGCGGUGAAAUGCUUAGAUAUCACGAAGAACUCCGAUCGCGAAGGCAGCUCACCGGGCCGGAACUGACACUGAUGCUCGAAAGUGCGGGUAUCAAACAGGAUUAGAUACCCUGGUAGUCCGCACAGUAAACGAUGAAUACUCGCUGUUUGCGAUACACUGUAAGCGGCCAAGCGAAAGCGUUAAGUAUUCCACCUGGGGAGUACGCCGGCAACGGUGAAACUCAAAUGAAUUAACGGGG